rnacentral:rRNA from 1 species
AUUGAACGCUGGCGGCAUGCCUUACACAUGCAAGUCGAACGGUAACGGGCCUUCGGGUGCCGACGAGUGGCGAACGGGUGAGUAAUGUAUCGGAACGUACCUUUCAGUGGGGGAUAACGUAGCGAAAGUUACGCUAAUACCGCAUAUUCUGUGAGCAGGAAAGCAGGGGAUCGCAAGACCUUGCGCUGAUUGAGCGGCCGAGGUCAGAUUAGCUAGUUGGUGAGGUAAAGGCUCAACAAGGCGACGAUCUGUAGCGGGUCUGAGAGGAUGAUCCGCCACACUGGAACUGAGACACGGUCCAGACUCCUACGGGAGGCAGCAGUGGGGAAUUUUGGACAAUGGGGGCAACCCUGAUCCAGCCAUGCCGCGUGAGUGAAGAAGGCCUUCGGGUUGUAAAGCUCUUUCGGCCGGGAAGAAAUCGCACGGGCUAAUACCCUGUGUGGAUGACGGUACCGGAAUAAGAAGCACCGGCUAACUACGUGCCAGCAGCCGCCGUAAGAC